rnacentral:rRNA from 1 species
UGCGCAGGCGGAAUAGUAAGUCAGUGGUGAAAUCCCCCGGCUCAACCGGGGACCUGCCAUUGAUACUGCCAUUCUUGAGUACAGUUGAAGUGGGCGGAAUGUGUCAUGUAGCGGUGAAAUGCAUAGAUAUGACACAGAACACCGAUAGCGAAGGCAGCUCACUAAGCUGUAACUGACGCUCAUGCACGAAAGCGUGGGGAGCAAACAGGAUUAGAUACCCUGGUAGUCC